rnacentral:tRNA from 1 species
CGGGAUAGCUCAGCUGGUAAAGCAAAGGACUGAAA